rnacentral:rRNA from 1 species
UACGUAGGGGGCUAGCGUUGUCCGGAAUCAUUGGGCGUAAAGAGCGCGUAGGCGGCCAGAUAAGUCCGGUGUGAAAGUCAAAGGCUCAACCUUUGAAUGCCGCUGGAAACUGUCUGGCUAGAGUCCGGAAGGGGCGAGUGGAAUUCCUGGUGUAGCGGUGAAAUGCGCAGAUAUCGUAAGGAAGACCAGUGGCGAAGGCGGGUCUCUGGACAGUUCCUGACGCUGAAGCACGAAGGCCAGGGGAGCAAACGGG